UCCAUCGUGGUGUAGUGGCUAACAUUGCUGUCUUUCAUAGUUGAUAUGAUGCGUUGCGAAUGCACAGCAGCCCGGGGUUCGAUUCCCCGCGAUGGAA